GUAAAAUUAUAUGGCCAGAUGGUUUGCUUUGUGAAAUAUUAAUCUUCCUUCCUUCCCUGGCCUCUCCUCUUCCUUUGUAGGGCAGCUGAACUCAAGAACAUUCACUACCAUGAGGAAGGGAUGACCCAGUGGAAACCGGAUGUCCCUUGCUGCUUUUUGGGUAUCAAAACUGCAGCAUGGGCGUGGCCUCAAGCUUGCAGUUCUCCUGCCUCAGCUUCCCAGAGAACUGGGACAAAACCACACCUAUAUUAUCCUGGACAAGUGUGGGCACCUACAAGAAAUCCAUUUCUCAGGAGCCAGAGAGGGGGCAACAGCCUCAGGAAGAGUCCUCAAGAGGCCCUGGCUUUCUAAAAUGAACCCUCAAAGCAUUGGUGUUACUGGUGCCAUCUCAGGGCAGGCUUGUCCUUGGCUGGUUCUAGUUUUCUUUUUAAUAUUUCAUUGUGGACAAUUUAAAAUAUAUACAAGAGUAGAGAGAGUAUCAUAAUGCCAGACCAACCUCAACAAGUAUCUGUCUCACUUUAUGUCUGUCGCCACCCACUGCCCACUACCAUUCUGAGUUAAAUGUCUGAUCCAGAUUUAUCUCAGCACACUUCUCUACUCUUUUCUUUACAUAACCAUAGUAUCACUGCCACACUAAAAAUAAGUCCUUAAUAUCACCAGAGAGCCCGUGAUUUCGCAUCUCCAGUUGCUUCGGACACGUGCUACAUGGGUUUAUAUUUUAGUUUGUUUGACUCAGAAUCCAGAUGAAGUUGGCUGAUAUAUCUAAGUUUCUUUCAAUCCAUAAUCUCUGCUCCUCUCUGUUAAAGAUUUGCUUUGUUGAAGAAAUAAAACGCUUGACCCG
rnacentral:lncRNA from 1 species